GAACUCACACAAGACAACUCUGUAUCAAAUUCCGCUAGUGAGGAGAGUGAGCAGUCUCUAGAAUCAGUACCACAGGACUCUCUUCCAGAAGAAGAAGAAGACUCUCUAGAUAACCAAGGCAAAAAGCCUUUGAGGAAGCCUUCAGAUAAACAAAGAAUUGGUGGAAGAUAUAAUCCUUCAGGUCCCCGUGGAAAUAAUGCACCAGGUGGUCCAGGCUCACGUUCUCUACUAAAAGGGCAGAAAGAUGGUGAUCAAAAAGGUAAAAAGCCAAGAGACCGUCCAUUUGACCCACGAAGAAAUGACCAGAAAAAUAAUUUUGUAAAUAACAAGAAAAGAAAAGGUUCAGGUGGCCAGUAAGGAAGUCAUCUACCCUCUCAUCCCAAGUGCUGGAGAAAGAAUAUGUGCAUUAGGGAGACAUCUUUGAAGUCCUUAUGUGGAACUGGAUAUUAAGACAGUACAUACUUCUUGAUCUUCUCCAUUUCUUUCUUUGCAAUAUCAAUAAAUAUACUAGCAAUCAAA